UUCUUCUGGCAGUUCUACUACCUAAAAAUUAGAGCAGUGAAGUCCCAAAUAACAUGAAGUUUGAAGGAUUGAAACAUAAAAGAGGCAUCCAUCUUAUGCAUCAACCAAGAAAAAUCAAUAUUCAUUUGAAGAAGAGAAGAGGAAUUCAUUAAGUUGGGUGGUUAAAUUAAAAUACAGGAAACAACUAAUUAAGAUCCAUUAACUUAAUAUUUAUAACUAAUAAUUGGACUCCAUACUGUAUGCAAAUUGAAAAGAAGAAAGAACAUAAAAGUAUGAAAGAAAACAAACCAGAACCCAUAGAAGG
rnacentral:misc_RNA from 1 species